CAAUUAGAAAGACCUUUUAUCGAAUAUAGACUUUAUAAGGGCUUAAAUGCAAAAUCCUAUGUUUAGUAAAUGGGUUCAUGUCGGGUUUCGUGUUUCAGGUUGGGACUCAAAAACCCGAACCCAUUAGCCCAAAUCCCCUUCCUCCGUCUCCCCGUUUCCCCAUCUAACUGUCACCGUUUGUCCUAAAUGGGUUGGGAGCCCCAAAUCCCCUUCCGGC
rnacentral:lncRNA from 1 species